rnacentral:rRNA from 1 species
CAGUAGCCGCGGGAAUACGAGGGGGGCAAGCGUUGUUCGGAAUUAUUGGGCGUAAAGGGUGCGUAGGCGGUUUGAUAAGUCAUCUGUGAAAUCUCUGGGCUCAACCCAGAGUCUGCAGGCGAAACUGUCGGGCUUGAGUAUGGGAGAGGUGAGUGGAAUUUCCGGUGUAGCGGUGAAAUGCGUAGAUAUCGGAAGGAACACCUGUGGCGAAAGCGGCUCACUGGACCAUAACUGACGCUGAUGCACGAAAGCUAGGGGAGCAAAUGGGAUUAGAUACCCGCGUAGUCCCUGUCUCUUAUAA